AUUGAACGCUGGCGGCAGGCCUAACACAUGCAAGUCGAACGAGUGGCGGACGGGUGCGUAAUGUCUGGGAAACUGCCUGAUGGAGGGGGAUAACUACUGGAAACGUUAGCUAAUACCGCAUACCAUCAGAUGUGCCCAGAUGGGAUUAGCUAGUUGGGUGGGUAACGGCGCACCAGGGCGACGAUCCCUAGCUGGUCUGAGAGGAUGACCAGCCACACUGGAACAGAGACACGGUCCAGACUCCUACGGUAGGCAGCAGUGGGGAAGAUUGCACAAUGGGCGCAAGCCUGAUGCAGCCAUGCCGCGUGUAUGAAGAAGGCCGUCGGGUUGUAAAGUACUUUCAGCGGGGAGGCGUUACCCGCAGAAGAAGCACCGGCUAACUCCGUGCCAGCCGCCGCGGUAAUUC
rnacentral:rRNA from 1 species